ACUCCUACGGGAGGCAGCAGUGGGGAAUAUUGCACAAUGGGGGAAACCCUGAUGCAGCAACGCCGCGUGAGUGAUGACGGCCUUCGGGUUGUAAAACUCUGUCUUUGGGGACGAUAAUGACGGUACCCAAGGAGGAAGCCACGGCUAACUCCGUGCCAGCAGCCGCGGUAAUACGGAGGGUGCGAGCGUUAAUCGGAAUUACUGGGCGUAAAGCGCAUGUAGGCGGCUUUUUAAGUCUGAUGUGAAAGCCAGUGGCUCAACCACAGAAUUGCAUUGGAUACUGGAAAGCUAGAAUCUUGGAGAGGUAAGUGGAAUUUCAUGUGUAGCGGUGGAAUGCGUAGAUAUAUGAAGGAACACCAAUGGCGAAGGCAGCUUACUGGACAAGUAUUGACGCUGAGAUGCGAAAGUGUGGGUAGCAAACAGGAUUAGAUACCCUGGUAGGCUCUGC
rnacentral:rRNA from 1 species